rnacentral:tRNA from 1 species
GCUCUUGUAGUUCAACGGAUAGAACGAGGGACUCCUAAGCCUUAAAUGCAGGUUCGACUCCUGCCGAGAGCACUA